UACGUAGGGGGCGAGCGUUGUCCGGAAUUAUUGGGCGUAAAGAGCUUGUAGGCGGUUUGUCGCGUCUGCUGUGAAAAUCCGGGGCUCAACCCCGGACUUGCAGUGGGUACGGGCAGACUAGAGUGUGGUAGGGGAGUGUGGAAUUCCCGGUGUAGCGGUGAAAUGCGCAGAUAUCGGGAGGAACACCAGUAGCGAAGGCGGCACUCUGGGCCGGUACUGACGCUGAGGAGCGAAAGCGUGGGGAGCGAACAGG
rnacentral:rRNA from 1 species